rnacentral:snRNA from 13 species
ACACUCUAGUGUCUUCUUUUUGAGAUCGCUUAAAUCUUUCGCCUUUUACUAACGAUUUCCUUGGAGAGGAACAUUGAGUAUCAACACAUUUUUUGUUGUCCGGCCGUAUGGCCGUAU